rnacentral:ncRNA from 1 species
GAAUUGUGAUGGUCCCUACGAAUGCUAAUGCACUGUGAUUUUUGCCUAGUGCCCUGAAUGUUAAAGUGAAUAAAUUCAACCAAGCACGGGUAAACGACAGGAUUAAAUAUGAAUCUCUUAAGGUAGCCAAAUGCCUUGUCAUCUAAUUUGUGAUGCACAUGAAUGGAUUAACUAGAUUCCCACUAUCCCUAUCUAUUUUCUAGCGAAAUCACAACCAAGGGAAUGGGCUUGGAAUAAUCAAUAGGGAAAGAAGACCUUAUUGAGCUUGACUCUAGUACGACAUUGUGAAAUGACUUGAAAGGUGUAGAGAAAGUGGGAUUCUUUUUCAACACAAAUGAAAUACAAGUAAUUUAAAUGUUAUUUUACUUAUUGUGUGGGGAAGAGAGGAGCAUUUACCCUAUUUUUAUCCUUAAGACACAUUUCGAUGGGUUGAUCUGGGCGAAAGACAUUGUCAGGUGGGGAUUUUGGAUGGGGAGACACAUCUGUUAAAAGAUAACAUAAAAUAUAAUUGGUGUAGAUAGAACAUUUGUAUUUGGGUGAUCCUAAUGCAAAACCACCCUUAUUACAUUUCCCUCCUAAUUUGUAGUUGCAUCUAAUCAUUUCUAAAUUGAAUCUAGUCUCCUCACUUGCAUAAUAUGGAUAGAUGUGUGAACCCUACCCCCCAUUUUCUAGUACCAUGAGAUGGGAGAUCCCCAACCAUGAACCAAAUGCUCCUAAGGUUUCCAAGGUUAUCUCUUCUAACUUAGAUUUCUUAGUCCCUACCCAU